CGCAUGCAGAUUCACUCAGUCAUGUUGUCAGGAAAUGAUGGAAGUGUUAACCUGCCCUUUUUCAAUAAGGCUGUACUUGACAAUCAGAAUGAAUGUAUACAUCUAUAAACCUGGAAUAUGCCUAAGGCAGGUCAGCACAUUUACUCGAACAAAUAAAAGCAUCUGUGCCUUUCUCAGGAGCAGCUCCGGAUAGGUGGAAGACAGAGCCUUACUUUUUUCUGUGUAUUAUUAUUAUUUAUCUAUUCCCUCAGCUCAUUUGAACUGAAAUAAAUGUAUUUCAGGCGUCUUGCAUACUUACAUGUAAAAGCACGAGGUGAGGACUACUGACCAAAGCCAAAUACUAAAUCUCAAUGCAUAUACAUUUUCUAAUUGUCAGACUUUUAAAGUCUUUUUUCAUCUUACCUCAUAGGUGUUUUAUCAUGUUUUGCACAAAACCUUCUGCAAUUUGGUCUCAGAUGAUAUGACCUCCUAGGUACGACUUUGAAGUUGUCUCAUGUUGCUCUUUAAACUCAUAUACCAAAGUUCCAGAUCCUGAUCCAGAGCUUACACUUACUGCUAAUUGCUAUUUGAACAAGUGGGACUCACUUCAAUAGCAUUGUUUGCUUGUAAUAGUCAUAAAAGUCGGCGUUCUUUAGUUAAAUGGGUCUAAUUUCCACAAAGUCGUUGAAUUGCAGAUUCUAAAAACAGUCAAAAUGACCUGGGUAGUUUGUGUGUUAAAACACUAGGUGUUCAUCGUUUUUCCAUCCAUUCAUCCUCACAAGAAUAGUAAAUCAAACUGAUGACUGUAAUAAUGUAAUAUAGUGAUAUAUAUAUGUAUAUACAUAUAUAUACAUAUAUAUAUAUAUAUAUACAGUAUAUCACUGUGGCCUUUGCUGCACUGCCUGAAAUUUUCCACACAGGGUGGCAGUAUACAGAGCAGCUUCAUGUAUUUCCUUUUUAUAACUUACAUCACACACACACACACACACACACACACACACACACACACACACACACACACACACACACACACACACACACACACACACACACACACCAGCUCCAAUGUUAUUUAGUCAUCCAACUCAAGGUCAAUGCACAUCUCAUGCUGACAUAUAUAGGGUGUGCCAUCAUGUCAUGGCUUCUAGUCAUAUAUUGCUGUGUGUGUCCCCUCUCCUCCUCCCAUAGGGUCUCUCUCAUGUCCUAUGUUCUUCUGAUCGUACACAGCUUGGAGCUUUGGAGCUGUAGUCGUCACCAUGCUGUGACUUGUGCCAGCUAAUAGGGCCAUGCUUGCAUUACAUGUGGCCAGUGGAACGAUGCACAAAGCAGCAGGGCAGCUGAGCCCCCCAUGGUGCACUGCUACACAGCAGGUGGCAGAACUCCCUGUACCUCUGUGGUAGAUGAGAGCAGGAUGAUACAAAGAGGCACAAAGUAACCAUGAACCACCACAUGAAUAACAGCUUGCAGUGCAUUAGUACAAGGUACAUUUUCAUCAUGAUCACAAAUGCCAGGUCAUCAAUCUCUGGAUUUAUUUUUUAAACAAAAAUACUAUGUAGCUUUUUUGGAUGUUAUUAAGAAUCUGCCACUGGAAACCAUGGCUUCUUCACCAUUUCAAAUAAAAAGCCAACCAUGCAGGAAUGUUGCCCAUCGAGGAACUAGAUCACCAAUCUAACAUUUUGUCUUAGUGAAUCUGACUCCCGGGUCAGAGUUUUAUAAUCUGCCGUUAACCAUCCUGAAUGGAGACCUGAGCCUUUCCAGAGCUCUAGUUAUGAAAGGUCUUCCAGAAAUGUCACUUUAAAUGUCAGUAUUUGUGCAAAUACGGAUGCAGCAUAUCUGACUGGCACAUUCCUUAUUUGACAUAUUUUCACAUGGAACUUUUAAGUUUUUGGACAGGAAUAUGACAUAAACCAAAAAUGACAAUGUGGCAACACUUAAAGAAAAACAUUCAGAGCAGCAAAAAUGGAUAUUUGAAAGCCUGGUUUUCGCUGCGUUAAAGGCAAACAAACAUCCAGGC